rnacentral:rRNA from 1 species
CCGGGCGACCGGCGCACGGGUGAGUAACACGUAUGCAACCUGGCCGUGACAGAUGGAUAACCGGGAGAAAUCCCGCCUAAUACAACAUAAUGCCGGGAGGGGACAUCCCCUGCCGGCCAAAGGGGGCGACCCCGGUCACGGAUGGGCAUGCGGCGCAUUAGGUAGUUGGUGGGGCAACGGCCCACCAAGCCGACGAUGCGUAGGGGUUCUGAGAGGAAGGUCCCCCACACUGGUACUGAGACACGGACCAGACUCCUACGGGAGGCAGCAG